GUGCCAGCAGCCGCGGUAAUACGUAGGGUGCAAGCGUUAAUCGGAAUUACUGGGCGUAAAGCGUGCGCAGGCGGUUGUGUAAGUCAGAUGUGAAAUCCCCGGGCUCAACCUGGGAAUUGCAUUUGAGACUGCACGGCUAGAGUGUGUCAGAGGGGGGUAGAAUUCCACGUGUAGCAGUGAAAUGCGUAGAUAUGUGGAGGAAUACCGAUGGCGAAGGCAGCCCCCUGGGAUAACACUGACGCUCAUGCACGAAAGCGUGGGUAGCAAACAGGAUUAGAUACCCUGGUAGUCCACGCCGUAA
rnacentral:rRNA from 1 species